rnacentral:rRNA from 2 species
UUUCAGUCGUGAGGAAGGUGUUAAGGUUAAUAUUCUUAGCAAUUGACGUUAGCGACAGAAGAAGCACCGGCUAACUCCGUGCCAGCAGCCGCGGUAAUACGGAGGGUGCGAGCGUUAAUCGGAAUUACUGGGCGUAAAGGGCACGCAGGCGGUUAAUUAAGUUGGAUGUGAAAUCCCCGGGCUUAACCUGGGAAUGGCAUUCAAGACUGGUUAGCUAGAGUCUUGUAGAGGGGGGUAGAAUUCCAUGUGUAGCGGUGAAAUGCGUAGAGAUGUGGAGGAAUACCGGUGGCGAAGGCGGCCCCCUGGACAGAGACUGACGCUCAUGUGCGAAAGCGUGGGGAGCAAACAGGAUUAGAUACCCUGGUAGUCCACGCUGUAAACGAUGUCGAUUUGGAGGUUGUGGUCAUGAACUGUGGCCUCCGGAGCUAACGCGUUAAAUCGACCGCCUGGGGAGUACGGCCGCAAGGUUAAAACUCAAAUGAAUUGACGGGGGCCCGCACAAGCGGUGGAGCAUGUGGUUUAAUUCGAUGC